UUCCUUGAAGGGCCAAUCAUUGGGAAUACCCGGGUCCUUCUCAACUUUGCUCUUCCCCUUGAAGCUUAGCUUCUUGGCUUCCUUCGCCUUCUUCUUGUGAUGCUCCUUCACCUUUCUAAUGAUCUUGUACUUUUUCUUUAAACUAACCCUCUUGCUUUUACUCUUUUUGCUCCUCUUCACCAUCUUUAAGUCUCAGAAGACAAGGGCUUUGUGCAAUAGGCCUUCACUGAGGAUCUGAAAAUGAGCGGCGGCGCGAUCUCACCAACGG
rnacentral:misc_RNA from 1 species